rnacentral:tRNA from 1 species
GCUGGUGUAGCUCAGGCGGCAGAGCGCUUCCUUGGUAAGGAAGAGGUCAGCAGUUCAAGUCUGCUCAUCAGCCCCA